rnacentral:rRNA from 1 species
AACAAACGCUGGCGGCGUGCCUAACACAUGCAAGUCGUACGAGAAAAUCGACUUCGGUCGGUGAGUAAAGUGGCGCACGGGUGAGUAACGCGUGGAUAAUCUGCCCCUCAGUUGGGAAUAACCCAUCGAAAGGUGGAAUAAUACCGAAUAAUUCUAUGAGACUUCGGUUGAAUAGACAAAGAGAGCCUCUGUUUACAUGCCCUCGCUGAAGGAUGAGUCCGCGUACCAUUAGCUAGUUGGUAGGGUAAUGGCCUACCAAGGCGACGAUGGUUAGCUGGUCUGAGAGGAUGAUCAGCCACACUGGAACUGAGACACGGUCCAGACUCCUACGGGAGGCAG